UAUGGUUGAUACAAAACAAGAAAAGAAAUUGAAAUUAGGAUACUAAUAUCUUGGCACAUAACAAUAGCAACUACCAUAAAUUGGCACCUAGCACCAUAGCUGAGAGUGUAUCACUAUCAUCUAUUUGUGGGGUGUGAGAUUCAAUUUCAUGGUUUUCUUUCUCAUUGGAAGAAUUCAUGUUUCUUUCUUUGGCUUAUAGUUUUUUGAUCCUUUGAUGGUGUGUGUGUUUACUUCCCUCAAGUUGUUUUAUUUCUUAUUGCCAAAUUUGGCAUAAAAGAAAAUUUGUUUAAUUCAUUAUGUCAUUGUUUGUUUAAAUAUUAUUAAUUAUUUGGUUUCGGUUGGAUAGCUUAACAAUUCAUUUUUUUCUUAACACAAUUGAGGGUUAAAAGAGUGGUUGACUUGAGAUCUUGAAGUGCGUUUCUCUCACGGUCUCAGAUUGGAUUUUCUCUUGUGUCAAUUUUGACAGACUAUAUUUAUACAACUUUAAAUGAUUAUGUUAUAAUAGUAAUUGCAAAUCCGCACAUCCCAUGGUAUAUGUGUGAUGUUAAUUUACAUUCACCUAAAAACAUUAAGAAAUAAAAGUCUACAUUUACUUAUUUUUAACAAAAAAAAAAAAACCUACUUACCACUAUAUUUAUACGACUUAUCCUUCUAGAAACAUCAUAUUUAAAUAUCAAAACAUCAUAUUUAAAAAAGUGGUGUACAAUGAUUCAAGAAACAUGAUAGUUAAAUAUCAAAACAUCCACAUUAAAAUGUCAUAUCACAUAUGACUUAUUCAUCCACAAAAAACAAGGAAACUGAUGACAUAAACCUAUUUAUUUAUAAAUUUCCAUAACUCCAAUAAUAGAGAAAGCACAGCAAACAACUUCAAGUCUUGAAAAUCCAGAGCGUUGAGCAAAAAUUUCAUAUUCUUUAGGAGUUCUUUCUUUUCCACCAGCAUUAAUGAACAUGAUAUUAUCAAUAAUUGAAGCAAAUCUGGAUGCAUUUGUUGGUUCUGGACAUUCUGGUAGUGCAAGCUCCACAAGAAUCACCUUUCCAUUUUGAGGCAAAGCUUUGUAACAAUUGCUAAAUAUUUCUAUGCAUUUUUCAUCCGACCAAUUAUGACAUACAGCCUAGAACAACGAAUUAUAUAUUUAUCAACAAAUUUUGUUAGAAUGACAUAUAAUUUGGAACGCAGAGAGUAGAUACUAACCUUAAGCAUUAUGGCAUCUCCUUGUGGAACACUUUCAAACAUGCUUCCUCCAACAUGCUCAAUCCCUAAAUGAAAUUUGUCUAUUUUUAAUUAAUAUAUAAUCUUGGGAAUGUUAAAAUAAUUGUUAAACUGGUCAUUAUAUACACAAGGUUAUCAGUUUUGAAUUUUGAUUUGAAUGUCGUUCUAAUAUGUAUGGACCACAAAAGAAGCUUCAAAGGUAAACCAUCACUAAUUUUAGUAAGAUAUAUAUCACAUCCAUUCUCCUUUUUAAAUUCAUAUUAUAAAAUUUGGACCCACUUUUAGAUUCAUAUUAGAAAAUUUGUAAAAUUUAAUUUUAGUUCUCACGAAAUAUUUGUUCAUUUUAGCUAGUUUAUAGCACAUAUAAUAAGGAGAAUUCUAUGUUAUCCUAGAGAAAAAAUGGGUACAAUAUAAUAGUCAUGAAGAGAGCCCUAAAAUAUUCGAAAGUCGUCACAUUGAAUUUUGAGCAAUCACACAAGAAUUGUAAAACUGCUUGUUUACCUUUUACCUACAAUACCACAAGUAAAGUUACAUUCACGAAUUGUUACCAUACACACAUUAUAUACUUUUUUUUGUUGAAGAAACACAUUAUACGGUUUUUAUUAAUCUAAACACGAAAAACAAAUCAAUAUUGAAUUUUCUCAAUUUUAUAAAUUUAAACCUUUUUUUUACUCACAUAAUUAGCUUUUUAGAUGAUAUCAAAUUAUUUGAUUGCCUUAAAUAAAACCAAGUUAUUUCAAGAAAUAGAGUACCUGGAAUGGGUGAUGCAUUUUCAAUCACUUGAGGAAGGUCAAAAUUGAUUCCCUUAAUUGAUGGAUAUUUUUCAAUAAUCAUUUUGAGAGUUUGUCCAUUUCCACCUCCAAUAUCAACCAAAGUUGAUAUUCCCUCGUAUCCUUUGUAUUUUUCAAGAAUUUCUUUCAUGUGAAUUUUGGUCAUAUUAGUCAUUGAUUUGUUGAAUAUUUGGUUUAUUUGUGGAUCUUUCCCAAAGUACUCAUACUUUGAUAUUCCAUUAACUUUCUUGAAUAGGUCAAUCUCUGGAUCAAGUACUGCAUCCUUGAAAUUCAACCUAUAAACAUAUUAUAAAAUUGAUUUUAAUUAGUGUGUAUCUCAAGUAAUAAUUUAACUAUUAGUGGAAAGCCUAUUAGUUGAAUUUUAAAAAUUUAUUGAGGUGCAUGAUAGAACGUUAAUUUUGGUAGAAAAUUUGAGAGUAAUAUUUUUUUGAAGGAAUUUGAGAGUGAUAUUGUUGACUACAUAAUUAUAUGCAAAUAACCGAGAUUAUGCUAAACAAAUUUAAUCAUAAGAUGAAGAAUCAUGGGAUGAGAGGGUCAAAUGUCAUACUAAUACGAGAGGUAGAAAGUAUAGCUAUAUUCACGAGGUCAAAUGUCAUACUAACACUCCUCUGGUUUUAUUUGUUCAGUGUCAAUUUUGGUGUGUAAAUCAAAAAAAUAUUUUAUGAAGUUUAAUAACAUCAUAAAAUAUUUUACAGAGGGAAAAAUAAAAAAUGACAUAUAUUACAGGAGGUAAAACACCGUUAACCUAAAGUUUAAUAACAUUUUGCUUGGUCUCAAUAUUGAUUUGAUGUUUUUCUAGAAGAGAUAUAUUUAAAUAAUGAUUACUCAAGAGCAUUAGAAGUGUCAAUUCCAGCAACACAUUUCACACUAAUAUAUAUGGGUUAUGCUAGAAGCCACCUAUAAAAGUGUUUUUUAGCAACCCACAUCUCAAGGUGUGAUUUCCACUUUUUAGUUAUAAUUUUGCUAAAAGACACCUUCAUUAAAAGUAGUUGGUGUCUUCUAGCAAAACUCUAUAUAUAUAUAUAUUUUACAAAUUUGACCAUUGAAUUGUAAGUUUAUAUCUUAUAAAUCAUUCAUGAAACUUUUUACAAAAAUCUAAAAUCAUUGGAUUGUGAAUGAAAUUAUUAAUUAAACAAGGUAAACAAAAUUAGGCAAUGUAAAAUCACUUACCACAACCCUAUCAAAGCAGGGUGACACAUAAAUGAUGUGAACGAGCCAACAUAACCAUGAUCACUAUUUUCAUCAUAGCAAAAGUAUUUACCAGAAGGUGUGAUCCCAAAAACUCUAACAAUGCUACCAUCAUCAUUAGUCCGAGUAGAAAUAGACAGAAGAGAGUAGCUUGCAAGCAAGCGUAACAUACGGUCGAGCCGAUUUGGCAAAUCAGAGUGUUGAGUUGGUAAGUUUGAAGCAAUUUCAAUGGCUGACUUGAAUCCAUCCCCAAUGAUUUCAAACAAGUUGAGUUGAAUUGCAGCAUUAAGAACUGCUGGAAACACCAAAUUGGAACCUAGUACCAUGGCUGAGAGUGUCUCAUUGUCAUCUAUUUGUGGGGUGUGAGUUUCAACAACAUGGUUCACUUUGUCAUUGGAAUUGGAACUCAUGUUUGUUUUUUUGGCUUAUACUUUUUGUGAUUCUUUGAUUGUAUUUGUGUGUGUUUUCUUCCAUCAAGUUAAUUGUUGUGUUUUUUAUAGAUAAAUUUGGCACUACGAUGCCACAUAGAGAAGAUUUGUUUAAUUCUGUAUGUCACUGUCUUGUUGGCUAUUGAUUAUUUGAUUUUGGUUGGGUAGCUUAACAAUUCUUCUGAUGUUAGUAAAACAUUUAUUAUGAUAAUAACGGAUAACCCACUCAUUGCUUGUUAUUAAUUAUUUAUUACCAUCCGGUGUGACCCUGAGGGCGAGCUUGAGGGGCGACAGCCCAGGACAAUAUUUUUUUAGGGGCACCAAAAUUAUUAAAUGUACUUAGUAGUUAGUAGUUUUUUUGAUAAAAGUAGUUGGUAGUUAGUAUAUAUAUGUAUGAAUAUAUUUCUUUUUAAUUCGCUUUGAUUAAUUCUAUUGAAAUUAUAUUUUUAGAUAACUUUGAUUAUAAAUGAAUAUUUUACAACAAAAAAUGCAAGAAGAAAAAUAUUUUAAUAAUUAAAAGGAAACAAUUUAUUGUUUUGUUCAGGGUACCAAAAAUCUUAGGGCCGUCCCUAAUUAUAAUGAUGUGAUUGUUAUACAAAUAUGAAAAAUAUUGAGAGUUGUUAGGUCAAUGCUUUGCAAGUUUAAACAAUGCUCUUUUCAACACAACUUUUAUUUUUGAAUUCCUUAACAAUUGAUGUAAGGACCGUCGUGAGCAUGACCUUCAAAAAAUGUCAUUUGAAUAUUUAAAAUCUAGACCAUGUGUAAGUUUACUAGGGCAUCAACUGAUUGACACUUAAAAAUUUCCACAUAUCAUGAGCAGCUUCAAAUUACUAGAAGAAAGAGAGAAAAGAAAGAAAAGUAAAAAGAUAAGAGAAAUGAAAAGAAAGAGAUAUGUUGUUCAAUUACUAGAUGUCAACUUUUUUAUAUUUACCUACAAAAGAUUUCCAGCAAUAUAUGUCAAAUUUCUAAGGAUUUUUCGUCGAAGAUAAAUCAAAUUAAAAUUUUGUAAAAAUAAAGGAAUAAUACAAAGGCGAAGAGAGAAGUGAAGUUUGUGGAAGGAGGAAUAUAUGCAAAGGUCACAUUGUCAUACAAUUGUGGAAGGAGGGAUAUAUGCAAAGGCACUAGCAUACCAUUAUUUUGUUCUUAUCAAAAUCGCACUUCUAAUGUUUGAGAAAGACAUGAAUUUAUGGUUGACGUUAUCUUAACAUUUUGUGUAUAUAUAUCCUCUCUUUUCCUUUAUUUUCUCACACAAUAUCCUUCCUUGCAAAGAAAUAACUCUUGCUUGCCUAGACCCUAGUAACUUCACUAAACCUAAGAUGACAAAAUCUGGUUACAUAGAUGCUGCAUUUCGUUCAUCUAGGAACAAUGAAGCUUACUUUUUCAUGAAUGAUAAGUAUAUCCUAUUGGACUAUGCACCGGGAACUGGCAACGAUAAGAUUUUGUAUGGGCCGAGUCUUGUUCGCGAUGGGUUUAGAUCACUUGCUCAUACCAUAUUUGGAAGCUAUGGAAUAGAUUGUUCCUUUAACACCGAUAACAACGAAGCAUUCAUCUUUUAUGAAAACUUUUGUGCUCUCAUAGACUAUGCACCAUACUCGGGCAACGUCAAAAUAAUCUCAGGCCCUAAGAAAAUUGCUGACAUGUUUCCUUUUUUCAAAGGAACCAUGUUUGAAAAGGGAGUAGAUGCUGCAUUUAGGUCAACUAAGGGCAAAUAAGUUUACUUAUUCAAAGGAGACAAGUAUGCUCGUAUAGAUUAUGGAACCAACCGUCUGGUUCAAAGUAUCAAGAACAUUAUCGACGGGUUUAUGUGUUUCCGUGGCACAAUCUUUGAAAAUGGAAUUGAUGCAGCUUUUGCUUCUCAUAAGACUAAUGAAGCCUACUUUUUCAAAGGAGAGUACUAUGCACGUGUCACUUUUACCCCAGGCACAACAUAUGACUACAUCAUGGAUGGUGUGAGCGCACUCUUGACUAUUGGCCUUCUCUUCGCGGUAGCCUGCGGUCAUAACUUACCCGCACCCACACAGUAGGUCGUUGGGGUUAGUUUGAUCAAGAUUGCAUGGUUUAGAUUUAAGCUCUGUAUUUUAAAAUAUAUAAUGAAAAUUAAAGACCGUCGUGUUUAGCCUAUCAAAUCAAGAUCAAACGACUAACAAUGUCCUUGACGACGUAACGAAUCUAAUUCGUGGCAUAAUCCCUCGAAGGAAUUUAUCGUCGGUAUUAUAGUGUGAUAUAUAUGGUCACAAUGCCGGUAUGAAAAUAUGAUGUAAUAUGUGUGUCGUUGUCUGCUUCUGUUUCUUGAUAUGUAAUAAGGAAAUUGCUACUUAUAGCGAAUAUAAUUCCGCAACAGUAUAUUAGUGACUAUUUGAUAUAAAUGAUUAUGAUAAAUUUAAGGAUAAUAUAACUUCAUAAAUUUUGUAUAUAGAGUUGGUUAACAUGUAUGUAUGAUAUUGAUAUGGUAAGUAAAGUGAAUUUAUUUGAUUUGUUAAUGAGCGUAUCUGUUCAUUACUCAAUAUAUUUAUGUAGCAUGCCCACAAUUUAUCAUUAUUUUAUUAUAUCCGUUUAUUUGAUUAACCCUUAUAUUUAUGAUUAUUUGAUUAUUCACUUAUGUUUGUUUCAAGUUUAAAUACAUGGUUAGGAAUGAGAGUAUAUCCAUGCAACCAAAUUGCUUGGCCUGCAGUGGCAAGGAGCUCAUUAUAAGGACGUAUCUAGGGAAUAUCGGGAUCGAUUCUCAGGGAAACAACAUUUGGCCAGUGCGCAUGCCUCUACGCACGAGCCGGAUUAGUCGUCCACCUUUGAUGGAUCAGAAACCGGUGCGAAAGUCAAAAAAAUAAAAUGAGAAAUCACUAUUUCGAAAUGAAAUAACUUCUAUUAACUUUCAAUAAUAUUCCUCUAAAAUUAUUCUCAAGAUAAAAGGUGAGAAAGUAGAUUCCUGUGAAAUUUUUAUGUACCUUUUUUUUUUUUUAAAGAAAAUAACUUUCAACUUUUCUAUAAAUGUUAAAUAGCCUGCCAAAUCACCACACAAAAAAAAGAGUGUCCCAAAUAGUUUAAUUUUUUAAAAUACCUAUGAAUCAAACUUCCGUCUUUAUAUUUUCCAAUAUGUUAUUCUUAAGAUUAAUUUUUUGAUUGUGCGUGAAACAAACCCUCAUAGUGAACAGAUAAAUAAGGUUAAUUUUAUGUGAAGUUGUUGAUUUUUUUCUUCUUCUUUGAAUAAAUUAUUCAGUUAAUCUUUAAACUAUAACUUUAUCUCCUAUUUUGAGAUCCUUCUAAGAAAAAUCUCCUAUUCAGAGAUCAAAAUAGAAGAGGGAACUCGACGCUCUUUUUUGCAGCUUGUUUAGUUACUUUGUGCGUGGAUUAUUUGCAAUGACCGUAACCAAAGGUUGUUUACUAAUAUAGGUAGUUCCAUUGAUCAGUUGUUGGAUAAAGUGAAGUGACACUCUUUGUGUUGGCUAAAAGCUAGUAAUAUCGUUUUUGUUUUUGGUUCUGAUUUGUGGUGGUCAAGGCCCUUGGAUUGUUUGGGUUUUGCCUAAUUUUUGCUGGACAUUGUAUAUCUGUAAUUUUUUAGGCUCUCCUUGGUACACCUUGUACUGCGGAGAGUUAUUGGUUUAUUAAUAUAUAAGUUCCAUUUUUGCUUGUUAAAAAAAAAUAGAAGAGGGAAUAAUAGUUUAUAAAUGAAAUCGGUGGUACAUUCAUAAAAUAAACAAUAGAAAACAAUACACGAAAUUCACGACUACGGUCAAAUUUUGUAUUGUACUACUAUAUUAUAAUUUUCAUCCACAAUAUACUAAUAUUUAUAUUAUUCAACUCUUAAAAACAUGUAUACCCACCCUUCCUUCAACAAAAAAUUAUUCAAAUAGUGCCCUAAGUCGAAAUGUAACUUCACUAACAGUUUUCAACUCACAUGGCUAGUAUUUUAAAGAAGUAUAUUAUGGCACGCCUUUGUUCUUGAAUAAUCAUUAAUAUCACCACGAAAAAAAUAUUAAUAUAUAUUAUUUUGGUCUUUCUUUCUAAUAAAAAAAACCAAUCAUUGAGAAAUUAGUAGGUCAUCAUUGUGUAAUUAUAACGAACCUUUCAUUAAUAAUAAAGAACAAACACGAAAUUCACGGAUACGGUCAGAUUUUGUAUUAUAUUAGUAUAUUAAUUUUGUGUUUAGUCCAAUAUAUCAAUAUUUAUAUUAUUUAAAUAGUCAAUUCACUUAUUUCAAAAAAAAAAAAAAAGUCAAUUCACAUCGAAUCGUAACUUGACUAAUAGUUUUCAAACCGCAUAUUAUUUUUGGUUUAAAGAAACAUAAAUAUUUGCAUACUAUUUUUGGUUGGUUUAAAGAAACAUAUAUAUUUAAAUGAACUUCUAGAAAUAUAAAUAUUCUCUGUUCAAUAUAUUAUUCUUAAUGUUAUCCACACUUCUCAUUAACAUUUUUUAAAUGAACUUCUAGAAAUAUACCUUUUUCAAAGUCUCUUUCAGAUAAUUUAUUGGCCUAUCAUCAAAGUCUCUUUCAUUAAAUGAUAUUCAUAUCGAUUUCACUAUUAAAAAAUGGGUCUCACAUUUUGGUGAGCCUUACAAUAUGGAAGAAUUUCACACACUAUUAAAUUAAAGGGGUGAAAAUAAAAAAGAGGUAAUUAUAUAAAAAAUAAUUACAUUAUUAAUAUUGACGAAUAUGUUUAAAGAUAUUAUAUAAAAAUUAUCAAUAUUAAUCUAAUAUUUUAUUAAAUAUUUUUCUCAUAUAUACAAAAAUUUGGAAAUAUAUAACCACGUCAGUCGUAGAUUUUAUAUAAUUAUAUAUGCGAAAUGUGUUCUUAAUUACAAUACCUAAUAGUUUUUUUUUUUUCUUUUUUAAGGAAAACCUAAUAGCUUUUGAGCAGUGCACUGUAUUGAGGAUCCUUAUAAAUUUGUUGGCGGACAUUUAGUAUUUAUAAUCAAAUUGUAAAUUUUAUAAUAUAAAAAAGGGAAAAAUAAAUAAUAUUUUAUAAAAAAAUGUAAGGGUUUACAUUUGAAUUUUUUAAGAGAUUUGAUCCAACGUCUGACAAACAAAUUCCUAGAUGGAGUUGUAGUGGUGAAAAAGUUGAUCGACUUGGCAAAGAGAAGAAAAAAUACACUGUUAAAAACUCUCGAACUUCCAGCGGAAUCACCUACGGAUUCUUAUGAUAAAACCGCAGGAAAGAUUUUUCCUGCGGAUUUUGCCAAGAAUUAGCAUUCCUAGGUAAUACAAUACCUUUGUAGGUAAUUGUUUCCUUAGGAUUUUAGGAUCCGCAGGAAAGGUGCAUCCGCAGGAAGAGAUUAAAAAUCCGCAGAAGAUAUUCAGUUAGUAUUUGAGGAGUUUUCCUGCCGCAAGCACCUUUCCUGCGAACAUACUCACAUGUACUUCUGCAGGAAAUUUUAUUAAAAGAACAUUUAUUCGCAAGUUAAUCCGCAGGAAAUGGACUCAUUUAUUAAAAAAAAAAACACUUUUCAAUGCAUUCCAGAACAAUAAAAUAUAAAUUAUAGAAGAUACAAAUUAUAGUAAUAUGUACAUAAGCUUAGCUUAAUCAAGCAUACGCUUAUUGAUAGAAGCAAAAGACAUCUAUAUCUAUAAAUUCAUUCAUGACGUGGUAGAACGUAAUUUUAAAUACUAUUGUCCUGUUGAAGAACUUUUCUGACCGAUGGGAAUUAGAUUUUAUACUAAAAUGGCAAUGAAAAUAUUUAGAGAAACUAGAAAUUCGUUAACCCAUGCUUUGAGUCUAAUAUAGUAAAAUAGUAAGCAUAAACACGGAGAAGAAACUGAACAUACAUGUAAACACUGUAGUAAUUUAAGAAAAUAUAAGUGAGUGAAUAUAAACAUUUAUCAAUGUUAUGUUGGUGUCCCACACAUGUCGGACAAUAGACACUUCUUCAAUUUGAAAUGUCAAUACUAUAAUAAUAUGUAAUUUAUAACCAAACAACUAGGUAAAUAAAAAACCAAAUGUCACAUUAAGAUGUACAGUGACAUACUAAUUCCAUGGCUUAGAAAAACUAGUAAUGAAGCAGCUCUCCUUGCUUCAUGUGACAAUUCUAUCUUGCUCCUUAAGCUCCUACAUUAACAACAACAAUAUCUCGUCGGAAUUAAGAAUGAUCUUAACCGUAUAUAAAUAUUUUUUUAUAUUUUUUUAAUUGAGGAUAAAUUAAAAAGUUGAAAUGGUGGUAUCACCAUAUUUGAUUGGUCGUAGUACCGUAUUGAUAGUUUGGAGAACUUACAGUUAGAAUUGUGAUAACACCAUAUUUGAGUGGUCUCAACUAGGGUUGGGAAUAGGCCAGGCCAGGCCAGGCUUUGAUAGGCCUGAGCCUGGCCUACGAAAAAAUUUGAAGGCCUGAGCCUGGCCUAUGGCCUUUCAUAGGCCUAUUUUUUUGGCCUGGCCUGGCCUGAAAGCCUAUUUACAGGCCUACUUACUAUUAAAGUCACUAAACAUUCCAUUUUAUCUACUUUAAAUAGGCUUAAUAGGCCUCAAAGCCUAUUUUAGUGUAAGACUUGUCUAUCACUACUAUAAGGCCUUAAAAGCCUAUUUCACUAUAAAGUUUUAAAGCCUAUUUAAAAAGUCCAUUAUGAAGCCUAACAUGCAUAAACUGGCCGGCCUAUUAGGCUUCAUAGGCUUUUUUGAUAGCCUAAGCCUGACCUAUUUACUUAAAUAGGCUUUUUAAAAAGCCUAAGCCUAGCCUUUUUAAUAAACAGGCCAGGCCAUGCCAGGCUUAAACAGGCCAGGCCAUAGGCCCCUGUAGGCCGACCUGGCCUAUUCCCAACCCUAGUCUCAACACUAUAUUUGAGUGGUCUCAGCACCAUAACAGAGUGGUAACAGUACCAUAUUAAAGUGGUUUCGGUAUUAAAGAGUGAUCUUAGUACCAUAUUUUAGGGUGUAAAUCUUGAACGAUUUUCUACAGUGCAAUGGUUAACCACACAAUUGUAGUUGUGUUUGUUUUUAUCAUGGAGACGGCGUGGUUGAUAGUCUGCCUUGCACAACUUUGGGCUGUACCGCGAAACGUCUUAAAGAGAGCGACCUGGUCGUGACUCAACCUAGUAACAACUUCGGUAGAUAUUAUUUUUCAAAAAAAGAAUUUGGAAAUCCAAAUACAAAGUUAGUAGUAUAUACAUAUAUAUUUUAUUUACAUCAUCUUAAAUAAUUCUAUUGAAAAUAUAUUUUUAAAGAACACUAAUUACGAAUGAAUCUUUUGUAAGGAAAAAAAAAAAAACAUUCGAAUAAUUAAAAUGACACAAAUUUAUUGAUGGCCCAUGAUACUAAAAAUCUUAGGACCGACCAUGUUCAGCGUGCAGUCUCCUGUGCAUGAUAGGUGCAGUUCGCUGCUAGAUUUUGGGGCUGUUUUCUCGGUUAAAUCUUGCUACAUUGUGUUGUCUAGCAUGUGUUUUACUAACGAUUUUGUGGCAGAUAUCAAGCAAUUGUGGAUCACAACUGUACCGUAAAAAAUCAGUGCAUUCAGAUGGUUUUUACUAUAAGAUGGACUCCUAGGCAGAGUAGAAUUAUGGAGGAGAGGAGUAAUCAGAGACAUGUAUCAACAAUGUUGUGUGGUGUUUUUCUUAUAUUGAAUCCACUGGUCAUUCGAGGUGUGGGCUUCGAUUUUCAAAUCGAUGGAUGUUGAGCUCGUUGGGCGGAGCUCCAACAUAGCGAAUAAUUUCCUUCUUUUCAACAAUGUGUGUAAUGAGUCAAGAUCUUCCUCAUUUUGAAUCUUCUCCAUUUCUUUUAUUUUGAACCUUCCCAUGUCACGACCCACAUUCCAUAUUUUGUGUAUAUCUCUUCUUAAAUGGAAAUAACCAUUUAUUUUUAUAAAUAGAGAGGAUCCUAACUCGUGUGUAUAUCUCUUCUUAAAUGGUAAUAAACAUAUAUCUCAUCUUGUGUUGUUGACAAGAGGUUGGUGCUUAUGGUUGGAGCAAAUGAUUGAUGUUCUUUUCAACAAAAAAGUAACUAAUGUUUUGGAGGUCGUCGAUCAAAUUAAACGCCUUAUCUUGUAAUGGUUCAUAUGUAAAGAGGGUAGUAACAAAAAUAUUAUCUUUUCAAAUUGAUGGAUGAAUCCACUUGUUUAUUUUCAAUGUAUUUAAUCUUCGAUACUUUAUAAAGGGUUUGGAAUAUUCCUUGUACUCGCUCUAAUAAAAAAAUUCUUAAAAAAAAAUGAUUUUUAUAUAUGUAAUUAUGUUUAUUUGAUUGAUUCUCUUAUCCACAUCAAAGAUGAUCUAGAGUAGCCUCAUUGAGAAAAAAAGAUUAAUUUCAUGAAUUGAACAAUUAAGAGGAAUUGACAACACUUAUUAAUUACAUUUGCAAACAUAUUGUCACAAAAGUUAUUUCCAAACAUGUAUACAUCAAUCCUCCAUAUUAAAAUAGAAAUUGCUAUUAAUAUGAUUUAAUUAUUUGUAAAGUUCCAUCACUCCAAUGAUAGAGAAAGCAAGACAAACAACUUGAAUCUUAGAAAAUCCAGAUCGUUUUCCCAAAGUCUCAUAUUCCUUCACACUUCUUUCCAUUCCACCAGCUGUGACAAACAUCAUGUUAUCAGCAAUUGAAAGCCAUCUAGAUACAUUUGUUGGUUCUUGAUCUUCUGGUUGCAAGGGUUCUAUGAGAAUGAGUUUUCCAUUUGGUGGCAAAGCUUUGUAACAAUUGGUAAACAUUUUUAUGCACUUUUCAUCUGACCAGUUAUGGCUGACAGCCUAGAGCAAUAAAAUAUAUCCAAGGAUACAAAAACAUUGUUAAGAACUAUCUUAUAGAUAAUCAGUGAUAUUAUCACAAAUUCUUCAGUUAUUAAUUGGUGGUUUUUUUGUCUAAAACAAUCACAAAUUAAUAACCUAAGAAUUAAUACAUCCAUAUUAGUUUUAAUAAAUGAGUAUUUUAGCAACAUAUCUAAUAAUAUAUAUAACAAAUUUUUUAUUUAUCACUUAUCAUAUUCCUUCUAAAAAAAUUAGUGGAUGUAUUUUAGCAAAUAUCAAUAGAAGCUGCUAGCUUAUACCUAUUUAUAUUUUAGAAUGUUUUAACGACACACUGUAUUUAACCACAAUUUAGUUAUAACUUGGUAAAACACUUAGCAUGCGUUUGACAUAACAACUUCAAUUGUACACAGUCUUUGAUUUGUAAAACUGUUUCUGGCACAAGAUAAACUAGAGGUAAGGGACAUGACAAAAAAAAAAAAAAAAUUGUCCAUCACUAAACCACAAGGUAACUUUUUGCCCCUCAUACAAGUUAUCUGAAAUAAAAAAAAAUAGUUUUUUGUCGACCAAAAAUAGUAUAAGACAAAAAAUUAUUCAAUAUCAUAAAAGUUUAUCAUGUGCUAUUGUGUCUUGCAUUCUGCUGUUAUGUCUUGUGUUGUUCUGUUUAAUACAUACAAUUUAGCAAAUCAAACACACCCUUUAAUAUAAAAACUAAAACUAGUGGGUAUAGGUCAGCAAAUCCGAUAUACACAUAUACCUUAAUCAUUAUGACAUCUCCUUGUGGAACACUUUCAAACAUAUUUCCUCCAACAUAUUCAAUGCCUAAAUGAAAUUUGGAAAUUAAAUUGGUUAUUAUAUAUACAAAAAUAAAUUAUUACAUGAGAAUUGGAUUACCUGGAAAAGGUGGUGUAUUUUCAAUUACUUGUGGAAGGUCAAAAUUGAUUGCCUUUAUUGAUGGGUAUUUAGAGAUAAUCAUUUUGAGACUUUGCCCUGUUCCACCACCUACAUCAACCAGUGUUGAUAUUCCCUCAAAUCCUUGGUAUAUUUCAAGGAUUCUUUUCAUGUGAGUUGUGCAUGUAUCCGUCAUUGAUUUGUUAAAUAUUUCAUUUAUCUGUGGAUCUUUCUUAAAGUAUUCAAACAUUGUUAUUCCAUGAACUUUUUUGAACAGGUCACCCUCUGGAUCAAUAAUUGCUUCCUUAAAAUUCAACCUACACAUUAUAAAAAUACCUUUUACAUAUAUCAACAAGCUAUUAGCAAGUAAUAUUUUUUUCUUUAAAAGAAGGUUAUGUUGUCAUGCUAAACUAAAUUAAAGAGGUGAUAAACUUGUGCGUAUAUUAAAUUAUAGAGUUGAUAAACUUGUGCGUAUAUUUAAUUAUGGGAUCAAAUCACCCAUAUUCAAACUUAGAGGCUCAAUUACAAUAUUUAAUAAUAUUAGGUGAGAUAUAUACAAAAUAACCCAACCUGUCUGUUGAAUUCAAAACUUUUAUAAAGCAUAUCAAAAUUAAAAAUUUCAUAUAAUAGGUCACAAAUUAUUUGACACUCAAUUGUAAUGAUUUUGUUAAAGAGUCCCGCAUUAACAUAAGCUGGUUUGAACAUGUGUUUAUAAGUAAGGACAAUUCUGAUUUCAAAAGUUGGUUUUUUGGGAUUGUGUUAGGUCCAGUCACGAUUUCUAAGGAGGUAUCGGGGCCUCUCCAAGAUUCGUUGGGCCACUUGUUAUCAGGUUUGAAAAUUGCGCUUCUCCCUCUCCCUUUCAAAAUUGUUCAUUCCCAUGAUCGGCUUUUUUUCAACGUGAUUUACGCAGGGCAUUUUUCAGUGUGAAUUAACUCACACAUGCACUUGAAUGAGCAAAAACAAAAGGGAGAAGGACAAUUUUUAUCAGGUUUUCGAUAUCGGGUCACCCACCAUUUAUUCCACCAACCAAGCCCGAUGGUCAUGAGGAAAUGUAUUAAAGAGUCCCACAUCAAACAUUAGAUGACAUGAACAUGCGUUUAUAAUUAUGGGCAAUUUUCACAUCACAAAUUUGUUUUGUGGGGUUUUGUUAGACUCAACCACUCUUUCUAAGAGAUUUAUUUUGACGGUAUUUAAUAAAUUAAUAAGUAAAUAUUUCUCACAAAAAUAAUAGUUCAAGGUCAGAAGAUUGAUAAAUUUCAAUUCUUACAUGUGCUUUUUUUUUUUUUUUUUUUUUUUUUUUUUCUUUUGGUUUUGAGGAAUUAUGUUUUCAUACAUUAGCUUAUUAACUACUCUAUUUGUUGUAAAUUGACUACAUCAAUCAAGUUUUAGAAAUACUUACCACACCAUUGACAAAGCAGGGUGAGACAAAAAUGAUGUGAAUGAGCCCAAAUAACUAUCACCAUUUUCAUACUUGACAAAAUAUUUACCAGAUGGUGUGAUCCCAUAAACUCUCACUAUGCUACCAUCAUCAUUGGUCCGAGAAGAAACAGACAGAAGAGAGUAGCUUGCAAGCAAUCGAAACAUGCGAUCAAGCCUAUUCGGUAAAUCAGAAUGCUGUGUUGGUAGCUUUGAAGCAAUUUCAAAGGAUGACAUGAAUCCACCAUUACUUUCCUUAGCAAUGAUAUCAAAUAAAUGGAGUUCAAUUGCAGCGUUAAGAACUGCAGGAAACACCAUAUUUGCACCAAGUACCAUAGCAGAGAGUGUAUCAUUGUCAUCUAUUUGUGGGGUGUGAGAUUCAACCACAUGAUUCUCUUUCUCAUUGGUAUAGGACAUGUUUGUUUGUUUUUUUUCUUUUUUUUUUUUGCCUAGUUUUUAUGAUGCUUUGAUGGUGCGUGUUUGCUUUCAUCAAGUGUUGUUUUUUAUAGCCAAAUUUGAUUUGAUUUUGGUGCUUGUGUGUCACAAUUUCAUUUGGUAGGGUUUUUUAAUUCUUUAACAAUUCUAUUACUCUUGACCCGUUACUUAAAUAUAUAAUAUAAACUAUCUUUUAGCUUAUAUUAUAUUUUUUCCUUUUUACUAUAUACAUGCAUUUUUGUUGUUGAAAACUUAAUCAUGAAUGUUAUGUCAUAAAUCUUAUUCGUUUAGUACUUUUUUUUAAUUUUAUUUUAGGUUUAAAUACACGGCUGAUUUUCUAUUUCAACGUGUUCUCGGUUUAAGCUGUUGAUUCUACGGCUAGUUUGAGCUUAUCAAGGUUAGAUCAUGUAAGUAGUGUUUUGUGGGAAUGUUAGGAAUUAAACUAGGAAGAGAGUGUAACCAAAAGACUGGUUUAUUAGGUGGGAGAGUUCGUGUGGAUAAAGUAUCAUAGUGAACACUUAAUUACUUGACGUGGAAUUCUUAACACUACCACAUCUUAAGAGCAGGUGUCUACAAUGAUUUUCACUAUACGGCCAUCGAAUUGAUGGUAGCAUUUUUCUCUUUAGAUAUUUCACUCAUCUAUUAGUCUAUCAACACUGACGCAAUAGUGACAUUUAUCUCUCUAGCGGUUCACUCAUCUAUUAGUAUUUAAUGGGGUUCUUUGAUCUAGCAUAUAGCAAUAUGCAGCGUAGGGUUGGCAAUGGUUACCCAAUGGAUAAGGUACUACAGUGUCCGUCUCCAUACCCGUAUUUAUAAAAAAAUACCCGUAUCUAUGCUGGUACCCUCGUGGACAACAACUUUAGUCCCCUUCCCCAUAUCAUAUGGGUAUCUCAAUGUCCAUACCCGCAUCCAUUACCCGCACUUUAACUAUGAAAAAUAAAAAUAAAAUAAAAAACAUCACAAAUGAAAUAAAACUACGAUCCCAAUUUUUUAAAAUUAACUCAUAAAAUAAUAUGAAUCGUGGUAUUUAGUCAAAUAGAAAACAUCCAAAAUAUCCUUAAAACUGGCAUGAUGGAGUUGUUAGUGUAUUAAGUAGUUGUUUGGUUUAAGUUUAGGUUUAGGCUGAAAUAGCUAAAUAAAUAAAAAUAAAUAAAUUAUACAUAAAAAAUAAAUAAAUAAUUUAUGAUAUUAUAUAAAUAUGUAUAUGCGGGGUUGCGGGUCUGGGCAGUAUAGUACCCUUACCCGUGCCCAUACCCAUUUAAUUUUUUGGGUGUUACUCGUACUCGUGCCCAGACUCAUAAAAGCGGAGUUUUACCCUAUCCAUUGUGAAUAUUUUUUGCGGGUACUCAUUAGGUGGGUUUAAUUGUCAUCCUUAUGGGUCCUAGUUCUCAAUGAAAAUAUCAAUUGCUUUGGUAUUGUUGAUUCUAAUAAUCACAUUUUUCUUGAGUGUCCUUUUGAAAGGAAACUAUGGAUUUGGUUCGGUCAAAUCAUUCGGCUUCAUAUUGAUCCCACUUCCAUUAUCAUCCUUUUUAGGCAACUUGAGUGUCCAUUUUUCUGGAGCAUGAGAUUAUUUAUAUGAAUUCUUUAAAUUUAAUAUAUGUUAUAAUAUUCUUAAAAUUAAAAAUAUAUCAAUUAUAAAUAUUAAUUUAUCACUCUUUAAAUAAAUACUCUUUUAAAAAUUGUGAAAUAUUUCGCAAUUUUUCCCAUAUAUUUCUCUCUCCUCAAAGCUUUUCGCUCCCCUCCACUCUAAACUCAAACAAAGCCUUAACAUCUGUAAUAGAGGUUGGUCCAACAAAUGCAAGCUGGUGAUUCUAGAUGUUGAUCAACAUCAUUAAUGUUAUUGUCAUUGCAGGAAUAAAAUUAGGUUUGAUGGUAAACAUGUUCACUGGAGUUCGGCUACUACAUUAUUGUUUUAAGUGUUUCUUUGAUAAGGAACCAUUCUAAUGCCGACUCCUCUUGUAAUAUGCAAAAGUUCCAAAUUCUGAAAACUAUUUUGGUCAAUAUUCACACUUCUAAGGUCACUGCUAGAAACUAACGUUUUUGCUGGUAUUUUUCAGCGGAAAUUGUUCCGCAGGAAUUACCGAGAAUUUUGCUGCCAUUUAAUUUCAUUUACUUGAUCGAAAUUUCCUACAGAUACUAUUACCGUAGGAAACUCCGCAGGAAACGGGUAAUUUUCCUGCAGAUACUGUUACCAUAGAACAAUCCGCAGGAAACGGGUAAUUUUCCUGCAGUUCAAAACUUGCGAUACUCUUACUUGGAAAUUCCACAGGUAUAUAUGCUGUUUUUCCUGCGGACGUUCAUAUUGUCUUUUCUGCGGAUUCCUUUUAUUUAUUUUUUUCAAAAUUUAAAAAUUUAAAAAUUUUCAAUUUCUUCCCUAUUUUUUAUAAAUAUAUAUAAUGGAUGUUGAAUAUAGACCCUAUAAUUUUAAAUUUAUGUCCUUAUCAAAAUUUGUGCAAAUGAAAUGUCAAAUCAUUCAUGUCAGUAGUAAUUAAUUUUUUUUUAUGUGUAUUCAUUGUUAAAAAAAAUUAAAUAAUAUUAGAACACAAAUCAUCUAAAAAAAUAUUUGAACUAAAAUGUUUACAUAAAUACUUGGACACAACAUGUGGAGUAAGGACAUCAAUAAAUUUUUUUGUAAGGGGAAGGGCACAUCAAUAAUUGUUGUGUGUGUAAGAUCGGUUUAAUCAUUUUUAAUUUUUCCUUUACUAAUAAACAAUUAAGUUGUUGACAAUAAUAUAAAGGGAACAAUUAGACCUUUUACAAUAUCCAUCCUUCCUUCUAACACUUUUUGCGAUGUCUUUAUACCCUUUGGCUGCACCAUUUCAUUUCUAUUAAACUAGGAGAGAUUGAGACUUAGCUUACACUCACCCACUACUACAUUAGUAACACUUUAAAAUUGUAACUAAAUCAAAAACAAUUGUUACUAUUUAGAUCUUGUAACAUUUGACAAAUGUUAGGUAAAGCCCGGUGUUACUAAAUGAUUUUAGUAACAUUUGAGAGUAAAACUUGCAACACUUAAAAAUUGUUACUCAUUUAGUAGCUAAUUAGUAGCAAAUUUGUAGUCAAUCUAUAGCUAACAGUUUAGGUUGCAAUUGCAGAAGUUCUGUUACAUAAAUGUUACUAAUUUGAAGCUAAUUGGUAGCCAAUCUGUAGCUAACAGUUUUAAUUGGAAUUGCUGAUAAUUCUGUUGCAUAAAUGUUACUGAAUAGUGAAGUCUGGGUAGAUCAAUAAGUAAAACACAACAAUUAAUUCAAUCUCAAAUUCUUAUUAAUAUUAAGAUCACUAUACACAAAUUGAAACCAAUUCCUAAUAUAGACACACUGUAGUUAAAAGCACCAAAAGUAAAUAAUACGGUCAGAAGAAAGACAGAUGGGCCCGGCUCAUUAAAAAGAAAGCAAAAAAGUAUAAAUGUACAUGAACUUAACAAGCUAAACUAACAAUAUGUUGGGAAGAUAUACUUCAAUUGCUAGCUUUAGUCCAUGUUGUGCACUAGGAUCUUCCACAGCCAUUCCUCUAAAAGAAUAACAAUUUGCAUCAGAAAAUUUGAUAUAGUGACAGAAAUUUAGGGAGGAAAAUGUUAAAUCCGUCUAUAAUUAGUGACGAGUUUUAUUUUUUCCUAGUAUAUAUGAUAUGUAUAGACUUUACCUAUGGAGAAGAUCAUUUGGUAGUCCCUGCAAAUCAAAUUGCCAAAGCUUAUCAUAAGCCACAGAACUUAAUUCCAUUGAAUACUUUUUAGUAAAGAAUGUGCUUUCAAUGACUCCAUAUGAACUAAUAAGAAUCUCGCGUCCAAGUGCGUUUAUCUGCAAGGUAUAUCUGAGAUGUGGAUGCAGUAACUUGUAGAUUGGAUGCAUGGUGCUAAGUUGCCUAUUUGUUGCAAUCACAAAUGGUUCUACAACACAGUGAGUCCUCAACCUAUAAAAAUCAGCAACAUGUACAAAGUUAGAACUACUUCAUAUACUCACUAGACUCAUGGUAAAAAAUAAUAUGAAUCUACUCACCAGUGGCUUAUAAGUUCAUGGUAACCAGCAUAGAUCAUUAUAAGUGGAACAAGAGUUUUACCAUCCAUAUCUGCAAAUCUAGAAAAUGGAACUGUCAAGUCAGACCUCCAAGAACAGAGCUCCCCACCCUGUUAAACAAGUUGAUUACCAGUUAGCAUGAGGUGAAAUUUAACUUUAUCUAUGGAUUUGGUGCAAAAAAUCCUUAAUGGCGGUCUGGCUUAAAAAGCAGAAAUCUAGAUUCAUGAACAACUUGUUUCACUUAUAGAGAAAAAAAUGUUAAAAAAUUUCAUUUAUUUGAAUGCUGUAAAAAAAUAUUUCUCCCAAAUAUUCUUAAAACAACUUAAGUAGUUAAGAAGUGAAUAACCGAUAAAACCUUAUCAGCAAUAUCAUAAACCAACUUUGAGAUUUCUCCAUAUUUUCCUAUGAGAGCUUCUCUCAAUUCAAAGACCGGUGUAUCCAAGGUUGUGGUGCCAUGCCUCUCAAAAACUUCUACCAUUACUGAAAAUGCUUUCUUUCUAAUAGUCAUUUGUUCUUUAGCGAAAUCAUGUGUCCCCUAAAUAAUUAGAACUUACAAUGAUCUAUGCUACUGUGAAGUGUCAAGCAAGCUAUUUUCUUGUAAUAGACUCAAGUUGAUAAAUAGAAUAAACUCAUUAAUAAUUAUUCAUGUGACAGAGUGGAUCAAAUAUAAUACUCACAAGUAACUUUGAUGGUAGGAAUAGGGAAACAUCUUUUGAUAUAUCUUCCCAACACAGGACAUGCCAAAAUCACAUAUACUUUCACCAAAUAGAUGACUUGUACCUCUUUUUCUGAAUCCUGCAAAAAACUAGCAGACAUAUUAGUAAGUAAUAGCAAUAUAUUAAACUAAAGCAUAGGAAAACUCAAGAAAAACAGCAUGUAAAAAUUAAUGAACUAAGGGAGGGAGAGAAAAUUGUCAUGACAGUUGUAGUCUAAGGAAGGGAAGAAUGGUACCUCUAGGCUACAAAACAAGUCCCUGGCAGAAAGGACUCAGACAAGCAUUGAUUCACAAAGAAUGCAGUAUCUCAUUUCACUGGCUUAGCGACACCAAGACUGUGAGAUUGAAAUUGAACUGUUUUAUCAAUCACUUCAUGACAAUGGAACAUUAACAUUUGCAAUAUUUGUAAAAAACUUGGAAAGAAAGAUGAGCAUUGGACCAUGCACAUAGUAAAAGGAAUCAUUUUAAAACCAAUCAAAGUGGAAGUUUAUACCUCAGAUGCCACUGUUCCCAUCUUGGUGCAAGCCAUCAAUCACGCUUGAAGUCAUUGGCAGAUCUGCAAACAGAACCAAAUAAUUCAAAAACAAAGAUUAAGCCACCAAAUAUGGUAGAUUAAAUGGUAAACAACAAAACACAAUAGUCUCAAAAGGCAAAACAUAAUUUAGGAACAAAUAGCUUCCUUAGGCAUCAUAAUCCCAAUUGAGAAAUCUAUAAAUAAGUAAAUAAGCAUAUGUUUUUACAAAAAGUUCUACUUCUACCAACCAGUCCUCUUUCCUAAAUAAGCACACAAUUGCAAAACACAGUCAAAUUUCAUUGAGUCAAAUUAUCAAACACCUGAUAGGCAGCACAAUAAUACCUUGCUAAAGAAUAAUGAACAAGCUUCAACUGCAAUUGGAAGUUCAAUGCCGCUGCAUUCUUGAUGCUCUGAUGGCGGUGGUUACCGAAUUCGAUAAAAUCUCAAUUACAUCAAAAAUCAGAAUCAACUUAACCUAGAAAAUGUCAAUUACAUCAAAUCAGAAUCAACUUAACUUAGAAAAUGUCAACUGCAUCAAAUCAGAAUCAACUUAACCUAGAAAAGUAAAUUUCUUAACCAAAGUUAAUAAUCAACUUAAAAUCAAAUCAAAUCAAAUAAACCUAGAAAUAUCAAGUUAUAAAUUGGAUUUAUUAUCACAUCACCUUAACUUAAACAUCAAAAAUUACCUCAUCAAAUCAGAAGAAUUAACCCAAAAAAUCCAAAAUCUUACUCAGCGAUUGGAACAGAAUGAGAUUGCGAUGAAGAAGUUAACCAGAACAAUUUCGAUGAAGGGAUUGCGAAGAGGAGCGAUUGUGAUGAAGAUGUGAGAGUGAUUGAAAUGAAACUGAUGAGGAGAUGUCAUGAAGAGAUUUUGAUUAAGCAAUUUUGACUAAACUAUUUUGGGAUAAAGCCCUUAGAAAAGUGAUUCUAUGAGAGAGAUAUCUGAAAUGAAAAACAAAGUUCUAUAAAUCUAUAAAAGUUAAACUAAUUAAAUAGUAUUAAAAAACCUUUUUUGGGAUGUAGACUAGUUUACAUUAUGAAUAUGUAACCCUAGUGAGUUCAUAUUCCCUCCAUUUAUACUUACCAUCCAUUUAUGAGAAUUAGAGUUAGACACAAGUGUGAUAUCAAUGGGAUUUAUAAAUUCGAUGUACUUUUUUAUGGUUAUAGAUCGUGUAUUUAUAACACAUGAUAUACUACUUCGAAUGUGAGAAAGAACUCUUUCACCAAGAGUUGCAUUCUUUUGAAUUCAUAACUUUUGAUUCAAGAAAUGUAUUGGUUCACUUACAGUUUUGUAAUAACAAUGAAACAAUACAUUUCAAUCAAGUUUAUGAAGAGUUACAACCAUUGGAAUCCAAAAACAUUAUGAAAACGCAUAAAACAGAAGUUUCUCGCAACCUAGAAUCGCACUUGAUGCUCGUACAGGUGCCUAACACCCGAAACGAUGCUGUUAGGGGCGCCCAGUCAUAGAGAACCAACGCUUGGUUUGCUUUUCAAGGCGCCCAACGUUGUGUUCCAAAAAAUUUCCUUAUGUUAUUCAUCAUGUAGUUAGCCUUCGAUCUUCCAAUAAAUUGAAGAUAAUUCUAUUCUUUUCAAAAUCACUCGCGGUCGCGGAUAAUGUGUGAGUAACAAAAAUCAUAAAGAAAACUACACGUCUCUUCCUAAACAAAAACAAAAAAAACUGCACGUCAUAUUCUCAAUUAACGAUCAAUUAAAGCGAUUCACUUAUUUGUAAAACUCCAUGACAUUAUUUUUUUGAGUAGAACACUAUGGUAAUAAUAAAAUAAAGUGCAACAAACAAUUUGAAAUCUAGAAAAUAUAAAGUACAUGCCACAUUUAUAUGAUAUAUUACAAACGAUGUGUGACUUAUUGAUCCUAGAUGUGACUUGGUUAUUUGUAGAGUUCCAUCACUCCAAGGAUGGAGAAAGCACGACAAACAACUUGAAGUUUAGAAAAUCCACAUUGUUUACCUAAACUCUCAUAUUCUUUUGGAGUUCUUUCCUUACCACCAGCUGUGAUAAACAUGAUGUUGUCAACAGUUGAAACCAUCUUAGAUGCAUUCUCUGAUCCUAGAUCUUCUGGUGGUAAGAACUCCACAAUAAUAACCUUACCAUUUAGAGGCAAAGCUUUGUGACAAUUCCUUAAAAUUUCUAAGCAUUUUUCAUCUGGCCAAUUAUGGCACACAAGCUACAAAAAUAUAACCCAUAAGUACAAAAUUAGAAUCAAUAUGAUAUUAGCCAGAAAUAAUUAAUUAAAUAAUAAAUGUGUAUAUCAUGUAUGUAUACCAACCUUAAGCAUUAUAGCAUCUCCUUGUGGAACAGAUUCAAACAUAUUUCCUCCAAAAUACUCGAUCCCUAAAAAAAGAAUUUGACAAUUUUUCAAUAUUAAAUAAUCUUGAGAAAGUGGUUACUAAAUACAAAAUUUAAGAUGCUAUCAAACGAUUACCAUGAUAGGGUGGUGCAUUUUCAAUCACUUGUGGGAGGUCAAAGUUGAUUGCCUUUAUUGAUGGAUAUUUGGAUAUAAUGGCUUUGAGACUUUGUCCAUUUCCACCUCCUACAUCAAUUAGGGUUGAUAUAUCCUCAUAUCCUUUGUAUAUUUCAAGGAUUGUUUUCAUGUGGAGUGUACAUGUAUCAGUCAUUGAUUUGUUAAAUAUGUGGUUUAUUUGUGGAUCUUUCUUAAAGUACUCAAAGAUAGAUAUUCCAUGAACUUUCUUGAAUAGGUCAAUCUGUGGAUCCAUAACUGCAUCCUUGAAAUUCAACCUAUAUUGGGAAAACAAUUUUUGUAUGUAGAAACAAGCUAUAUUAGCAAGUAAUGAUACAUACAUUGAUACAUAUUGGAGAACCAAUACAUCAAUAUUAAAUUUUACUUUAGCCUUACACUUUAUGAACUUAUAAUUGGUUAUUCACAACUAGAGUAAACUGAUUUUUUAUUGACGUACAAAUCAAAAAGAAUAAUUUCCAUUUAUCAAAAUACUUCACUUGCCAAUGCAUUUUUAUAUUAGUGGUAUGACAUGAAAAAUUGGAAAGCUCCCAUUGAAGGUUAGCAUAAAACUAAUUUACACUAACAAUAUUGUUAGUCUCUUAAACUCAUAUUGUAGGUUAAGGCUGUGUUUGGUAAUACAAAAAAGUUAAUUUAUAGUUUUUUGGAUUAGUUUAUAAGUUUGUUGGAUGAAAACGUGAUGUGUUUGGUAACAAGCUUUUCUCAUGAGCUUAUAGCAUUUUUUGAAAAGCUAUUUCAAGUAGCUUUUGAGCUUAUAGCUGGUAGCUUUUUAUAUUUUCUUCCAAUUUUAACCUUUUAUUAAUAUAGUUUAAUUUAAUUUUAAUUAAAAAACCUACCACAUUCUUAUUCAAUUGCCCAGGUUUAAAAAAAAACUACCCACAAUCUUUUUCAAAUUUUCUUGUUCACUUUCUUUUUUACAUACUCUUAAUUCAAUAAUAAAUAAUUUUAUAUAAAAUUUACAAUAAAGAGUGAAGAAAGUUUAGUUGAGUAAAAUUCAUUAAAAGAAAGUUUUGUUAAAUAAAAAAUGUCAAUUGAAUUCAUAAAUACAUUUAUCAUUUGGGAGAUGAAAAUAUUUUGAAAUAAAUUUAAACAUUUAAAAAGAAAUACAAUAAUUAAUAAAAAUUGUAUAUAUGAUUUAUAAAAAAAAAAAAAAAAAAAUUGUCCUUUUACGUCAUUUUAUAUUUAUCAGCCACUUGAACAACUAAUUUUACCAAACACUUUUUAUUUUAAUAAGCUAACUUUUCAGCUAUAAGCUAUCAGCCAUCAGUCAUCAGCUACCAGCUAACUUAUAGCUUCUUUUUACCAAACACACCCUAAAUACAUUAUGUGGUCUUUUAAGUUUAACUCCUUCCCUAAAUAAAUAAAUAAAAAGUUUAACACUUGUGUUAGAUUAGUCCUUUUAAUUGUUUUGGUUUAAAAUUAGUCCUUUAUGUUAGUAACAUUGUGCACAUAGUCAUUUAAGUCAUAAAAUAUAUUCAAUAUUGUCAUUUUUCAUUAAACUCGGUUAAAAAGUGUUUAAAUAGACGUUUAUUGUUAAGUUCUUAAGUCCAAAUUCACUCAUUUAGGAUGUUUGUUUGUAUUAUUUAGUCUUUGUUUGAAACAAUAUCGAUCAAUUAAUUGAUUUAUAUUGUUGUUGAUGAAAUAUUUAUCUAUAAAAUUAGGAAACAAUAAGAAGAAGAAAAAUUAUGUAAGUAAUUAUAUUUGAUGUCAUAAACACUUGUUUAUACAUUUCACAUCAAUGCUUUUUUUAAGAGCUCGUGGUAUGGAAUGAAAUGAACCCCAAACUUCUCUAAUAAAGCUAAAUCUAUUACUCAUCUAGUGGAAAAAGUAAAAUAUUGUUCAUUAGGUUGGCCGAAAGCUAACAGUGUCUAUUUUUCUUUUGGUUACCAUAUGUGGUGGCAACAACCUCUAACUUAUUUGUGUAUAGGUUGACUGUCGUUUUAUUUGUUUCCUCAUAAUACUUUGUUGUGCUCUUCUAUGCAAACCUUAUGCUAAGGAGUAGCUUUUUCCUUUAUGGAAAUAUAUCUCAUAUUAUCUUAAUGUUAAAGGGUUAUAUAAACACUUUCUAACAAAGUUGAAUGAAAAAGAAAGAAAAAAAAGCAUCAUUUGCAAGACAACCCUUAUACCAUUUUUAAAAAAUCCAUAUUAGACACAGCCGUUGUAUUAGCUCCCGGUCAAAUCGAUCCGACUGAAAAUUGGAGGACGAACCGGUUCAGUCUAUUUAUUGGAUCGAUUAUGUUAUUGAACAAUUGCAAACAAGGUUAAACCAACGAGAACCAAAAUAAACUGGUGAUCCAUAGGUUUUCUCAAACGAGCCAAGUCAACAGUUGACUUAGAAAAUUCAUUUGCAAAUGUAAUUCACAUUUCAACUUUUAAUGUAUUGCAAAUUAAGCUGAAAAUAUUUAUAAUUUAAUUUAUUUUUUAUAAUUUACAAAUAUUUUUAACACCAAAAAAAUACACUUUUGUAUACUGCAAUGGACACGGAGUAUAUAUUUUGAAAUAACCAUAUUAAUUAAGUCAAAGAGAAAACAAAAUAACCAUUUUAAUAAAGGAAAAACACUUACCACACCCCUAAGAAAGCAGGGUGACACAAAUAUGAAGUCAUUGACCCCAAAUAGCCAUCAUUUUCAUACUUGACAAAAUAUUUACCAGAUGGUGUGAUCCCAUAAACUCUCACUAUGCUACCAUCAUCAUUGGUCCGAGUAGAAAUAGACAGAAGAGAGUAGCUUGCAAGCAAUCGAAACAUGCGAUCGAGCCUAUUCGGUAAAUCAGAAUGUUGUGUUGGUAGCUUUGAAGCAAUUUCAAAGGAUGACAUGAAUCCACCAUUACUUUCAUUAGCUAUGAUGUCAAAUAAAUUGAGUUCAAUUGCAGCGUUAAGAACUGCAGGAAACACCAUAUUUGCACCAAGUACCAUAGCAGAGAGUGUAUCAUUGUCAUCUAUUUGUGGGGUGUGACAUUCAACCACAUGAUUCUCUUUCUCAUUGGUAUAGGACAUGUUUGUUUGUUUUUUUUCUUUUUUAUUUUGCCUAGUUUUUAUGAUGCUUUGAUGGUGUGUGUUUGCUUUCAUCAAGAGUGGUUUUUUAUAGCCAGAUUUGAUUGCAACUUUUUUUUUUUUUUUGAGUAAAGAUUUGAUUGCUACUUGUGUGUCACUGUUUCAGUUGGCGGGGUUUUACUCUGACCCGUAUCUUUUUCUUAGGGAUACUCUGACCGUUACAUAAAUUUAUUUAUUUUUAGGGGACCUGUGUACUUAGAUAUUAUAUAAUACUAUACUAGCAUUCAUAAUGGAGAAGGAGAAACUAAUUUUUGAAUCUUUGAAUGGUUUAUACAUUAUUUAUUUAUAAUUUUUUAAUAAAAUUAUCUAAUAUAUAUUUAUUUUUCUUAAAUGAUGCAUGUUGUACAAAUUUUUUAAACAAGAUUCGCUAAUAUUUUAUUAAUAACUUUAUAUUAUUAUAUUUUAAUUUUUUAAUAUUAAAGAUACAUGGGACCCAAAAGGGAGAUCUUUGGUUGAGACCCCAACCAUUAGGUAUCCAAAAAAUUACUUCAUUUCUAAGUUUAAAAUUAUUCAUUUUUUUAAGGGAGACUUUAACUAAAAUUUACAAAUAAAUUAAGAAAAUGAUGUGUUUAACACUUAAUUUUUUUUUUUGCAUAAAAAAAUUAGUCUUUUAACUAUUAAUUCUUUUAUUAUUGGUCCUCGGUGAUUUCUUUCUUUCGUUGCACUUCAUUGUAAUUAAUGUAACAUUUGCAAAAUCAUAAGUGAAUUUAAAUAGUGUCAAGUGUAUUUUUUAUGUCUUAUGCUAUAAAACUGUGAAUUCUUUUAAGGUUAAAUAUAUUUUUAGUACCUAUAAAUAUGUUAACUUUUCAUUUUAGUCCCUCUAAAAAAUUUAUUCAACUUUUAGUCAUCCAGUGUUUUUCAUCAUCACUUUUCAUCUCUUCUUUAAAGUAAACUCAUAUGUAGAAUUCAUAUUUUUUUACGACUAAAAAUUCAUAUUUAAUUUAUGUUUCGCUAAAAAUUUCUAAUUUUUUUGGGAUUGAUGUUUACAAUAUUCUACACGUUUAUGCACAAUUUCAUUAAAAAAAAACAAAAUUUGACUUAAAAAUAGAGACCAAAAGUAGUGAUUGAAAAUUUCAGAGGGACUAAAACAAAUAUUUGGUAUAUUUAUAAGAACCAAAAACAUAUUUAUCCUUUUUUUAUGAGAAGUGUUUGAAAUACUCUUUUUACAGAUAUCUUAUCUGAUAAAAUUAAUGUGUGACUCACAUUUUGAAAAGAAAAUUGAUGCAUAUUAUAAUGUUUGAAAAGAAAAUUGAGGCAUAGUAUAAACUUUGAAAAAAAAUAUUAUAGUUUCCAAUAUUUUCAUAUUUUCUAACAUUUAUUAUAUGUUAAUGGAGCUUAUUUAAUUAUUUAAUCGAUAGUUUAAAUAAUAUUAUAAAAAUAUUAAAAUAGUUUAAAUAAAUUGUAAAAUGGAAGGAAAUAAAACUAUUACCAAAUCAAGAAAAAUGUUAUUGAUUAAAUUAAGUAACAUUUGAACAAUUGUCAAGUAAAUUUAAAGUCCAUGUUACUAAAGUACUUUUUAGGUUCACUGAAUAUUCAAUGUAUUUGGUCUAUAAGUAGACUAUAUACAUUAAGUAUUGAAUGAAUCUAAAAAGUAUAUUUUUAUCUUAUAAAUGUGAUCGGAAGGAGUAUGUAACAUUCAAAAAGUAUCGCAAAAUAUCACAUUAUUGUAACACUUUUUGUAUCACCAGUAACAAUAAAAAAGUGUUACAUUUAUAAUUUUUUAGAAGUUGUAAAGAAGUGUUGCAAAAUUGUUUAUCAAAUUUGUAUUUACUUAAACUUCAUUCAUGUUUGAAUUAACCAAUAUUAUUAGAUCAAACUUCAUUCAAACUUGCAACACCAAAUAUGUUCUCAUAAAAACAUUUGAAAUUUGAUUUCAUAAUGGAAAUGACCUAUACAACACAUUUUCAAUUACGUGUAUGUUUGGUUGAGCGUUUGAGCUCUCCAAACGUGAGCUUUUACUUCUAAACGCGAGUUUGCAGUUUUCUAUGAUGUUUGGACACAGUCAAAAGCAAUUCUGAAAAAGCAAGUUUGCAUCCAAAACGUGAGUUAACAGGAAGCUACAAAUUGUAACUUCUACGGCAACUCAAAAGCAAUUCCAAAUUUGGUGAAAAACAAAAGUGGGGGAGGAAGAAUGAGAAAAACACCCAAUCUCCAUGAAAUCUUCAACAUAGAACAUGAAAGAAAAAUUCGAAAAUUUAGGAAACUAAAAACAUAAUCAAAGGGAAGAAAUGAUGAUGCCGUCCAUGGAACUAAACAGCUUGAGAGAGGCGACCAAAAAAUGGGCGGGGUUAUCAUACAUUGAAAUGGGUAGUAAUAGACAUACAUUGAAAUGGUUGAAGAGAGUCUAGAGUCUUCAUAAAAUGACUUUAAUUACCCAUAAGUAUAUUUAUUACUUAUUAAUCAAAAUCAAUAGAUUUUUUUGAAAAUGAUUUAGUUCAAUUAAUUUAUAAGAAAAAUAUAAUUAGAUGAACCGAGGGAUAUAAAGCAAUAAAAAUCCAAAUAAGAUUACUUGAAAUAAUUAUCUAAAAUAUAAUGAGAUAUUUAAUUUUAAAUACAAUUAAAAGGAUAAUUUGGUCAUUGCACAUUCAAAAUCAAUUUUGAUCCAAAUCAUCCAAACAACAUCGACUCAUAAGAAUCACUUUUAAGUGAGUGUAUCCAAACACAAAUCAAUUCACACCAAACUCACUUUUAACCAAAAUUAAUUCUCUCAAACUCAAUUCUAUCAAAAUCAAUUCUCUCCAUCACCGUACCAAACACAUACUACAUACUACAAUGAUUAUAAAUUUUCAUCUAUAUUUUUAUUCGGUGAAGAUGGUGAAGUUAUGUAACACGAUAAACCCCGCAAUUAUAUUUUUCAAUAGAAGUUCAAUAAAUAAUAAUAAAGUACCCAAGGGUGUUACGUAUCUUGAUGGGAUAAAACCGCAAGUGCACGGUUUACCGAUGUAGUAAUAAAGAGUAUCGUUCCGACAGGGAGUUAUGAAUUUAAUUAACUUUCAACAAUGAUUAGAAAAGAGUUUUAGUUGAAAGGUUUGGAUUUUGCUUUUAAAGAGAAAUAAAAAUAAUAAUAAUAAUAAGGUGCCUUGAGAUUAUUGGUUCGUCAUGGUGAAAAAUCCUUCACAAACCUAACCUUUAAACCUAGAACCUUAUGUUAGACCUAAUUUCUAAAGACAAGUUUAUCUUUAGCCUAUCACAUCUCCUUUCGGUCUCAGUGAGUGUGUUCCUCUAGCAACCACGCCUAUUUUCAUGGUUGAUUGCUAUUAGAAUCCUUGAAGUUCGAAACUUUAUAUGUCUCAAGGUUUGCUAGACUAUUUUCAUGUUUCGCAAUCCUGGUCUAACUUCACUUGUUCGAAUAUCAAAACUCCACUUUCGCUUUAUGAAUUGAUAUUUGAGAUGAUGAAUUAACAAUUACUAACCCUCCACUUUCGCUUCUACAGUUUGAUAAUUGUUAAUUCAUGUUAAAACGGUGAAUUUAGAUUAGAAAAUAGGGUUACAUAAAAUUAGGGUUUAAGGCUUGGUUUGAUUAGGAUUAUGUCAUUAGACUUAUCCAACAAUCCCAAGACAAGAAGAGUUUACUCACUAACGUUCAUUGUAGACAUAGAAGAGAAGAAGAACAUAAAAUAAAGGUGAACUUUUAUUCAAAGAAACAAUUGUCACUUAUUACUUCCAAGAACAAAAGAUGAUUUGUUGUGAUGGCUAGCUACUCUAUUUAUAGUUUACAUUCGACUUAAAACCUAAGCAAGACAUCACUAGAAUGUUCCACAAGAAAUUGCGGGCUUUUUGGUCAAAACUAAAUAGAGUAGCUUAAAAUCUAAGCAAAAGGAGAUCCUGGGAGGUGGCACGGCCAUGCCAGUGGGAGCACGGGCCGUGCCAAGCUUCUGACUUGGGGGAGACAUAUUUUUGUAUCCAAUUCUUCGUAUUUUCGUUCCGAAUCAGCUCCAAACCCUUUUCUUUUGCUCCAAGACUCAAUCCAUCAAAUAUUCAUUCCUGAAAUAUAAUAAUAUGCAACUGAAGUAAAAUAGCUCUAGAAGGAAAUAAUAUUAAAAUAAAAUAAACUCAAAUCUAAUUAAAAAGGACUUAAAUAUUAUAUUAAAACUACUAAUUAUUGACUCAUCAUAUCUCAUCAAAACCAAAAUGUUCAUUCUCAAAAUAAAAGAAACGUCGUAGCGGGAAAGUUUCAAAACAUCAAAGUACACAUCUCAUCACCAUUUCAACAACCAAAUUGAAAUCAACAUAGUUUUAAAAAAAUCUGAAAAAUAAAGAUAAAAAUCCUCAAAUCCUAAGUGUCACAAAUCAAAGUAUCGACUCAAUAGACUCCCAAAGCAAUACACAAGGUGAGUAGGCUCCAAAGCCAUACUUAGAACUCACAACUACUGAGCUUCUUCUUCCUGCAAAUCUACACCAUAAGGGCGUAGUCGUCCAACCUCCAACAAGUAAGCUGAAAAUAUAAUCAACAUAAAGAAAAUAUAAAUGCAUGUAUAACUUCAAGGUAAACAACACAUCAUUUAUAUUUGAACACAUAUUCAUCACUAUAUAUAGAGAGUUUUCACAUUAUAUAUAUAUAUAUAUAUAUAUAUAUAUAUAUAUAUUCUUGUCAUCAAAGUUAAUAGAUCUCUAUCAACUCCUUAUAUGCAUAUACAAACAUCAAUAACAAUUAAAGGCAUCAAGUAGACAAGUAGUAAAGAGUACAUCAUUCACACAUUACUACAAUAAAGACACAUCAUUAAAUGUCACAUCUUCAAAUAUUCACAUCCUUGUAUAACACAUCGUCAAAUUAAACAUCUUCAAAUAUUCACAUCUUCACAUAAUACAUCAUCAAAUUUCACAUCAUCAAUACACUUGCAGAUAUGUAUGCAAUGUACCUAACUCGACUCUAUACGCACGCGGUACCGGUUUUUGGAUAUCAUAGUUAUAUUAUUGAUUAAUCCCACAAAAUCAUAUAAAAUCGGACAUCAGAAGUAUGUUACUGAUUAUUGUCCCCUAGCGUCAAAUACACAACGUCAAAUAGGACUGACUAUGAAUGUAUGGACACCAUAUAAGACAUCAACAAUGCAUAACUCGACUAGACAGUUACACAUCAUUAAAUAACCCAUGAUCAUAUCAAUAUAUCUUCAUCUAAACACGUCAACAUAUCAACGCAUCGUUAUAUAAUCACUUCAUUAUAUAACACAUCUUUAUUUAAUCACAUCAUUAUAUAAUAAUCUCCAACAAUCACAUCAAUCUCACAUCAUUAAACAUUCAUGAGUUACACUUAGUCAAAUAAUUCAUUAUUUACACCUUGUCAAAUAACUCAACAAUUAUUCAUCACAUUCACAUUAUUAAAUUUUCAUCAUCAUAUAACCACCACAAUCCAUCAUUUACAAAUUCAUCAACUCAAUUCAUCAUAUAGUUUUCAACAUUUAAGUUUAUCAAGGUUACAUGCGUGUACAUACUCAUUAGCCAUCAAAAACCUUUCCAAAGUUAUUCAUUUUGUUGCGCUAGUUCAAACUAACAAAAUUAAGUUCAUUUUCAAGUUCCAUAAUCAACAUCAUUUCACUUAAAAGUAACCACAUAUGAUCAAUUCAUUGCAUGCAUUCAUUUCCCACCAUUAAGUAAUUAAUACAACAGCAAAACAUCAUAAAAGGAACACCCACGAGUUCCCGGAACCCACCCGCCUAGAAUCAAAACGUGCAGAACAUCUCAAGUUGUUACUGCUCUGGGCGCUUGGCGCCAGGGAGCCUCAUCCUGGGGCAUCAGGUUUCUAUAAUAGGGCACUAGGCGCUCCAAUUGAGGCGUCAGCGCUGCGACUGGUACAAAAGGCCAUGUUGGGUCUUAGGAAUGCAUCAAAAUCAUCCAAAAACCACUUAAUUUGAUCCACAUUGAACUCAAAGUGAUUAAAAAUACUUUUCAAGGUCAAUAAACUUCAAUUAAGCACUUAUAACACAUCCAAACAUCAAUUUAUACAUCAACUUUUAUGGUUUCUACUCAUUUAAACAUAAAACUCAAAAAUACAACUUCAACACAAUUAAAUCAUGAACUUAACAUAUCAAUACCAUGGAUUUACAAAUAAUAACAUACACAAAUUCACAAUGACAAACUAGACCACGAAUUCAUCAUCAAUUCAUAAUAAGAACAUGAAAUUAAGAAGAAAUUGCACAACAUUUUUACUACCCAUUUCUCAUAUAACCCAUAUGUGAAUAGAAACUCCCACCUUACCUCAACAAUCCACAAAUCAAGCCUCUCAAAUGAAUGGGUCUCACUUCAAUCUUCACUUCUAGCCUCCUAAGGUUCUUCUCUCCUAGCUCCCCUCUCGCAUCUUCUCCCAAAAUGUUCUUAUGAGUUAUGAGUUCUAACCCUAAUUCUCAUGAGACUACAAUCUAUUUAUAUUCUCUUGUUUGAACUUGGUUUUCUCACAUAACUUAAUGAAAAUUGUAGUUCACACACAUAAAAAGGCUGAAACACACAUAUAAAAGACAUAAAUACCCCCGGAAGUUAACUACCGAUAUUAAGUUAACCGACGACAACUAACCAACGAUGGAACAAGUGGUAGUUAUGUUCCUUGGAUUUCAUCGGCAGUUAAGUGCCGAGGGUCUCUUAUAAGAACAUAACAGACCUAUGAGUUUCCAAAACUUCAUUGUUGCAGAUUGAAGUUCAAGAAGUGAAAAUUAUCCCAAUCGUUGCAGAUUCAACGCCAAUUACGCUCACAAAAUCAAGUAAGGUGUUAUCAUCCUAUUGCAUUGUUGUUUUGUGAUUGAAUUGUUAGUUUUUUUUUUUUGGAUAAAUUGUCUCAUAAUUAGAUUUUGUUGAUUUUAUGAUUUGAUGUUAGAUUAGAGUUGAAUAUAAUAUUGUUGUAGAAUUGUUAGAAAAUUGUGGUAGAAUUUUUAGGAUUAGUUUAGGUUUUGAUGAAUUGUUGUAGAAUUGUUAGGAUUAGUUUAGGUUUUUUAUGAACUGUUGUUGUUAUGAAUUUGUGAUUGAAUGGUUAGGAUUAGUUUAGGUUUUGAUCACCGAUUUCUUUAUGUAGAUAUGUCUCAGACUCAGAAUUAGGGUGAUGUUCAGUUGAACAAAAAAGAGGGUGAUGAGAAGAAGCAAGCAAAAUCACUUGUGACAUGGCACAAAAUCGAAUGUAAUGGUUCCAUAAAAAAAAAAAUUGAAGGUGCCGAUGUAUAAUUAGUCCAGACUGAGGAGGAGCGGGAGGACAUGCUAUUUUGGUCCUCAACCAAAAGCAGGUGCCACAAGGACUGUCGAGCACAACCUUUAUUGAGAUAAGCGACGAGGCAGAUCAUUAAAUAAUGUAAUGACUUGUAAUAAUCUUGAAUAUGCCGCACAUUUUGGAACAUUUUGUUAUUGAAUAAUCUUGAAUAAGCUUGCGUAUUGAUUAAAUUCGAAGCGAAAUUGCGUAUUUAUUCAAAUUUAAAAUCAUCUACGUUACAUUACAUUCUCCCUAAAGUGUCUUAUAAGAAUGAAGAGAACACAACACAUGUAUUCUACAAAAUAAACUAUAUAUGUUAUCACAUCGAAUUCCCUCAUAUAAGACGAGUCAUCACAUAAAGCAUGAGGUGCAUUCCGUGACAUAACUUAUAUAGUUGAUUCUGCAUAAUACAUGUUGUGUACUCUUAAUCUUUUGACUUUUCAAACCAACAAGAAUUUAAUUUAAAUUCCAACAAAAUAAAGACACUACCUAAUUUUUUGAAAGGAACAAUAAAACUUCCGGGUAAAUGCUUGAGAGUUGUUGUUUAAUAGGUUUGACCUUAUCCAAUUUCAGAGGUAAGACAAUUGUUGUCGUUGGAAGGUGCAUUCCCUACCUAAUCACGAUCUUCUGGCAGAAUCAAAUUGUUGAGAAUAUCUUCAGUUGAUCUCUACAAUGUGAUAAACAUAUCGAUAAACGAAACCAUGUUGUGUUGCCAAAAAAUUGAGAACAUGUUCCUCACGUCGUCGUCGUUCUUUAAUUCUAGCCGACAGAACGUUAUUCUCCCGUCGUCCAACGUUGGACGUUCAUACCAAAUGUAUUUCACUCUCCUUGUGUCUCCGGGGUUGAGUCCUUGUUGAUUUCAUCCAGUUGAUCCUUGAGACCUUUUAACGUCACAUUAAUGCACCGAACCUUGAACAUCUGAGGAUUUCCACCAUUGAAGCGUAUGCAAACACUGAACAAAUCAGUCAUUGUUUCAAACCUACACCAAAAAAAAUUAAACAAUCAAUGAAAAACUCAUUCAAACAUUUCAUCAAACACUUAGAGUGAAAAUUAUACAUAAACCCUAAAAUCAUAACUAUAACAUAAAAAUGAAAAAAAAAAAAAUUAACAAAAUUAAUCAACUUAUAUCUACUUUUAAAAUGAAUCAUAUACUCUUACUUGUAAUUCUACUCAAACAUCAAAAUUUAAAAUAACCCUAAAAAUCAUAACUAUAACAUAAACAUCACGCAAACAUUUUAAUAAAAUUAAUCAACUUACAUCUACUCUAAAAAUGAAUUAUAACAUGUAAAUCUACUCAAAAACUAAAAUAAAAUAAAUCUACUGAAAAACUCAAAAACUAAAAAAGAAAAAUAUUUAUAACAACUAAAAUGUAAGUUAAUAGCACUAUGAUUACUUACUUGUGAUUUUGUUGAAUAAAUUUGAUUGGGAUUUUUAGAGAUAUUUUAAGAGAGAUUUUGAAAUUUUUUGAGAUUUGAGAAAUUUUGUAUUAGGAUCGCAUAAGCAGUUAACUACCGAUGGAUCUCGCGGCAGUUAAUUGCCGCCGGUUCCAUCGACAGUUAACAACUGUCAGUUCUUUACCCAUCGGUUAUUAAUUGCUGCAGGGGUAUUUCAAUCUUUUUGUGGUGUUUUCAGCCUUAACACAUGUGUCAUCAACAAAUUUCUAACUUAAUGAGCUUGGUUCCUAUCACGUUUAUUCUCUACAAAUAAAACACUACUCAUUUACUCACUUAAACCUCAUAUAUACUCAUACACCUUUAUUUCCUUAAUUUAUCAUAAACUCUUAUUUUCUAAUAAUUAACCAAACCAUCAUUUACUCACUUAGCCUCCUAACUUUUCUAAAGUUGCGAUUUUAGUCCCAUAAGAAAAAAACUACAAAACCGCCCCCUAAGUUUUGCAUAUGUGGCAGUUUUGGCCCCAAGGUUAAUUUUGACUCGGUGUACGCUGAUGUGACACCUCACUUAGGAAGCCAAAACUGCUACAGUUGCAAAACUUAGGAGGCAAAUUUGUAGUUUUUUUCUUAAGGGACCAAAAUCACAACUUCGUAAAAGUUAGGGGGCAAAAACUGAUGUUAAGCCUUUCAUUUAUUAUGAUAAAACUAUUAGGGUGUUGUAAAUGUCAAUUCUAUCAUGUCAUGUCUUUGCACUCCAAUUUCUACCUUAAAAAAGUACCAUAUAAUAGAUAAUUUUAAGUUUCUUUAAAUCAAGGUGGAACUUAGAACAGCGAUGGUCUUAGGGUGAUCAGUGUUUUCAAAUGCAUUACCGAUCGAAACGUAAUCUAUUAGUAGUUUAAAUAAAUGUUGUAUUCGACAAUCAAAUUUGGAAAAGUCCACAUGUCGAAUUAUUUACAUCAUCUUCUGGAAAAAAAAUUAGUUACAUCAUAUUAAAUUUAUAUCAUGUUUGUCGUUGAAAAAACUAGACAUUGAAAAUGAUGGUCAUAUGAAAAAUCAUCACAGAGAAUAGCAAUAGUACAUGUACGUCAUAUUCACAUUAUCAACGAGGGAAACAAUAUUAUUUUAUCUCAUCAUUUCUUGAUCACCAUCAAAUAAGUGGUGCUUUUAUCUCGGUUAUAUUUUUAUAUCAUUUGAUUUAGAUUAAAUUGAAUAUUUGGUCCUUAAAUUGCUUGCAUAUUAACUUCAUACUCUUUUUUUAGAGGACUCUAUGUUAUUAGUAAUUUUUUUUAAUGCCUAUGUUAUUAAAUUAACUUGAGUGUGUUUUUAGGAGUUACUAGUUACAAACACAUGCUUCGCACGUGUUAAAUUACGUGUUCGGCAGAAAAAAAAUGUUCCAAAGGAAACAUGCACAAAUUAAGGGAGUAGUUGCAUUUUUAUAAUAGGUUGUUAUUUGUGUCUUUGUAAAAUAUUUAUCAAACCAUUUAAAAAAUAUAUAUUUUGUUUAUGAGAUCAUGAAUUCAACAUAAUACUUAAGAUUAAAAUAAUUGGAACAAAUGAAGGAACCAAUAAUAAAGUGUUUAUUUCCUUGGAUUCAUCAUAAAACAACAAUUAGUCUAAGAGCAGAACAUGCCAACUACCUAGUGAAUAUUGCAGUUAUAACAUUACAUGGAACUUUUAAAAUGAAUUGAUUCUAAAUUUGGCAAUCUAGGUUAUGUCUAUCAUUGAUUUAGUUCAAAAUGCAUCAUAAUUUUAUCUCAAUUCAAAAGAGCUUUUUCUAUAAUAUAUAUCUAGAGAAAACAUCUUUUAAAAUGAGUCAGCAAGCUAGUGCUAUAAGAGUCCACAAACAACAUUGCAACCGCAAUUGCGACUACAUUUUCCCCCAUUUUCUCGGACCAUAGUUGGGGAUAAAUGAGAAGAAAAUAUAUAAGAAAUUAUAUAAAGUCCAAUUUCAAUUUUGAAAUAGCCAGGGCCAAAUCAUUUGGACAACAUAAAUAAAACCAAAAAUAAGAUAAAGAGCAUAAAUGAAUACUCAAAAAAUCAUUGUACCAUUGCACAACUAAAAAUUCAUUAAAAAAUAGAGGAUUUUUAAAAAAAAAAUAGAGGACAUUAUUUUAAAUAAUGUGGAUAUAUAUUUAUCCAUAUAUAUGGAUAAAUAUUAUGAGAAUAAUGUGAAAAUUAUAAAUGAAAGUGAGAUAUUUAUAGAGUUGAUUUUGUAAAGUGUCCGUUAUUGUUACCGUUGAUUCUACCGUUGUUUAAUGAUUAUGAAAUAUUUAUAAAAAAAUAAAUAAAUAAAUUUUUUUACUAUUCAUUAGCAUUGGUUAACUCGUAAUAGAUUAAUUCUACUGUUCGUUAGAGUUGAUUAUACUUUUAUUGUUUAUUAUCCUUGAAUAAUGAGGAAAAUAUCUCCAAAAAAAAAAAAAAAACUGCCUCUUAUUUCAUUGGGUGUUUUUCACCACAUAAUAUCAAAUAAAUAUUAAAUACAGGGUUAAUUAUAGUACACUACAUAUAUUUUUGGUCACAAUUUCUAUGGUUAAUUAUAUACAUAACAUAUUAUGACAAAACACAAAUGUCUCCACAGUUCAAAAAAAAAUAAAAAAAAUAGUAACUCUCAAAACUUUAUCAUACAAAAUACAUCAACUUCUCACUACUUUGACCAUUUAAACCAACCCCAAAACUUGUACUAAACAUAUAUAUACUUCGAUUUGGCUAUUGUCUUCAUCCCCUCAAUGUCAUUAUCAUUCUCAAGCACCCAUUAUAGCUUUUGGAUCUAAGGAAUGAAAGUUCUCAUCAUACACUUUGAAUCUACCUAGUAUUUUAAAACAAUAAAACAAAAGUUCAUUACAUAGUCCUCUAGGAUAAACUGAUUGGCACAUAAAUUAAAAGAAGAGUCCAUCAUUCAUUACUUGUCUAUUGGUUUUAGCAAGAUAAAUACAGAAAAAUCUAUAUAAAGUUUAAAAAAAUCAUUUUAAGCUUUAGCAAGACAUGAGGCCAGCCCUACCACUGUUUGUGGUUGUCUUUGAAAACAAUCAUUCACAUGCACCAUUCAUAAGAAUCAGUCAUGCACCAUUCAUAAGCAGCAAAACAUUGGCCAGGCUUUAACACUAUAAAUCUCUUUGUAGCAUCCAUACUAUGCAUAAUACAAAAAAAAAACAGUGUUAGAUAAAUGUUUAGUUAUGCCAAGAUUUUAAAUAGUGGAUGCAAUUGCACCACAAUAUUUAAUAUUGCGGUCAAGUGUGAAGUCCUAAUUCAGGCUGUAGAGACAUCAAAAACCUGGACCACCAAGAAUCACAGUCUUGAUCCAAAAUAAUUGACAAUACAUGGGUGCAUGUGUAGAUAGAAACCUAUAGUAUGGAAAAAAGAAGUAGGGAUGUGAAACUAAAUAGAGUUAGAAAUAUUUCACAUACAGCAUCUGGUGCAUGGCAGGUGGCUUCAAUAGCAUACACUGCAUCAAAACUAUUGUCUUCGAAUGGCAUCUUCAUGAAAUCAGCCUGAAGAAUGCAUCUGUCAGGUCAUCACUAUAAAUAACAUCAGCAGCCAGGAGCGAGGAAGCAUUUUCUGCAUCUUCAAUUUCUCUAGAAGUCCAAGAAUACCUGGAUGACACCAAAAAGUGAUUGAUUCCCACAGUCUGCCAUCAAAUAAGCAUCACGAAAAAUAAGAAAUCAAACAGAGCUCCAUGAAACCAUAAAUCAAGAUACAAUAGAUCAUCUAGAAAACUUGUAAUAAACACAAAGAAAAAAGCUUCUUAUCAUAUCGAUAUUCGACAUGCUAUAAGCCAUUCUUAACAAUUUAUUAACAAACAUAUCGACAUAAACACAAAACAUAUUUACCUUCAUAUAUUUAAAGUUAAAAUCCCCAGUCAUUAAAUGACUUCUCCUAUACAGUAUGAAGUGACAAAAAAGAGUGAAAGUGUAUAAUAACUGAUCCUAACAUUUUAUUAUUAUUAGAGAUUAAAGUGAAAGCAAAAGUAAGAAAGGAAUAAGAAAAAUAAUGGACCUAAAAGAACUGUUAUAUACAGUUUAUUAAUAUUCGAUCAAAGACUUACUCUCAUACUUGUAGGCUCUGUAACACUCCGUUUUCCCAACAUAAAAAUUUCAUAAAAAUAAUCAGAGUAUUCACAUAAACGGAAUGUCACAUUCUUUUCUUAAAAUCCUAGACUGAAUAAAUAACUAUUUAUCCUUUAAAAUUCAAUAACAAAAUCUUUAAUACUUCGCAGCGGAAUUUAUUCAAAAACAGUCUUUGGCACGAAGGCCUCUUCAUAAAUGUCUCAUAAAAAUCCAAUCUAAAAAUAUAGUCAUAAAUCUUCAAAAACAAUACGUAAGGAAUAGAAAAGCAAUAACAAAGUUCUCAUCCCGUUACGUAUCAGAGCACCUAAGACACACGAGAGAGCUAAUCCACUCACGACAGCAAUCUAACAGCAACUUAAACUCGAUCACCUGCAAAUUACUCAUAUGAAGAGCAACAUUUUCAAGCAGAAGGGGUGAGAUUUCACAAAACAAUAAUAGUAAGCAUAUAAUUCAACAAUUAUAUUUAAUCAACAUCCAAUCAUCUUAACAUUCAUUAUAGAUAAUAAUAUAUCAUUAAACACUUCAAUCAUAGUUUGUACACUUCACAAUUUAUCAACAUAAACAUCAUUGACUCGACAAUACGACUCUAACUCGACUAUGCAACUUAGACCUCUUAUAUACAUGUGAUACUAAUACGGAGCAUCAAGCCCCUAUCGCUAUUUAAGUAUUAAUAUACUCCAGAGCAUCAAGCCCCUAUCGCUAUUUAAGUAUUAAUAUACUCCAGAGCAUCAAGCCCCCAACAAAGAAUGCUAAUGCAUGAACUCGACUUCUUAAACAUCUUAAAUCGACAACUCUUGUAUAAUCCAAUAAUUUGGAACUUCAUCAUCUUAAUCAACUUAGACCGACUCAUGCAGCUUAGUUAAAUAACAACAGCAACACAAUAGUAUACAAAAACAGCAUGACAUGAUAAUAUCAAAUGCAAGUCAACAACGUCUCAAUUAUUCACAUAUAAUUCAAGUAAUACAUAUACAAUUAUAUCACAAUAUAACAUCAUCAAAACACAUCAUCAAAUAACACAUCUUUAGAUAACACAUCUUUAUAUGACACAUCUUUAUAUAGCACAUCUCUAUAUCAACAAAUCUUUAAAGCACACUUCUUCAAAUAGCACAUUAAUACACAUCACUAAAUCAUAUGAGAUUAAAAUCAGGAAAAUAAAUAUAUUAAACUAAUACACAUGAAACAUAAUAGAUACAAAAUAGCAAUUUGAAGGGAUUGACACGACAUAGUGUUAAAUUUCUAGAAUGGAAAUUCAAUCAAAAUUGCAGUUUAAUUAUACUAAUCAAUUAGCAAUAAGAAUUCAAUCAUAUAAUGGUCAAUGUACAAAUAUAACCACAGCAGAAAGUUUUGUUCUUUGCAAAGCCAAAAUAAACUAACUAAAUUCAACAUAAAGUUUAAGUAUCACGUAUAACAUACUAAAACAAAAUAUAAAUUAAUAUAAUUGAUAAACACUAUGAUUUCUCAAUUUUUAUCAUACUUUAUUUUGAUAUGGCUUAUCAAUUGAAUCGAAAAGUAGUAACCAAUGAAACAAGGCAUAUGCACGGCACAAAAUCAUAUUCCAGUACAUGAUGCAAUAAUUAAUCAAUACGAGUCGAUUGACAAUAAAACAAAUCAAAAUUUGAAGCACAAAACAGCACACAUGAAUAUAACCUCAAUCAACUACCAAUUUAGCACGCAAAAAUAGUGAAUUUAGAGACAAGAAUAUACCUAAAAUCACAACUGUAAACUAUAGCAUGAAUUUAACAUUAAUUUAUUAAAAGAAUAAGGAAAUAAUCAAAUUUAACAACCCUUCACUACCCACAUGAGUACACAACCCUUAUGAUGAAUAAAUAGUGAAUUUAGAGACAAGAAUAUACCUACUCUUUCAACAUCAAUCUAACAAUUUUUCAUCAAUUCCUCACUCUAACCCUAAUUCUCAAAUCCUCCAAAACUAAUCCCACCCUUGUUAAAUUUAAUCAUCAGAAUUACGGACUUAAUAAGAUUGAAUGUUAGUCUCACCCUUACCUUAUAAGAUGAAAUCGCAGCCCCUCUAGCUCUUCUUCCUUCUCUUGGCUUUUCUCCCUUUUCUCCAAAUGAUUGUACAUUAUGUUUUUCUAAACUAGGCCUUUCCUAUUUAUAUCUCCACCAUCCAUCUUAUCUUAUUUCUCUUUCUCCCCCAAACUCUCUAAAAUCUCAUAACAACCCCUAAACCCAAUAUUAUUUUAUUUUCAAAUCUUAUUCUAUUAAAUAAUAUAAUAAGCCACUUAAUAAAUUACAUAAUCAUAUAAAUAUAUUCUAAACUCUUCUUAAUAAAUUCUAGACUCAAUUAAAUAAUUAAAUAAAACAAAUAAUUCAAAGAGGGCGUUACAGGCUCCAUAUUGUCAUAUUAAAACAUCAUCAUCUAAAUCUAAGAUUCCUUCAUUCUCUUAGUCCUUAAUUCUUAAACCAGAUAUCCAGAUCAUGGUCUACUUGCAUUUCAUGCAUCUGCAUUACCAUUGAGUCUUGUGUCUUUGUCAAAAGAAGAAAAAAAACAUUGAGUUUGUGUUUAUUUUUAUCUUACAUUUUGGAGCGGAUACUAUUCUAAAUGAAAAACACAUGGUUUAUAAUGAUUCCUUGAUGAUGAUUGUAUAUUUUUAUUUGAUGUCUUAAAUUAUUAUUGAUUUUAUUGCAUGGGUGUUGAAGACUAACCCUUACAACCAACAUUUUAGGUACCAAAGAAGUUAUGAUAUGUGCUUGUAUUUUGUUUGAAGCGCGUUUGCGGGGAAAUAAAUUUGGGUUUUUCUGAGUUGUAAUUUAAAAUAUUUUUUGAAGUUUAUUAGUGUCAUAGUUAACUCGACUUAAAAUGUUAGGUUUGUAAUUAAAUCAUUGUUUACUAUUUUUGUUAAGUUCUAGUUUGGAAUUUAAUAUGCUUGACUAUUGUUAAAAAAAAAGUCCUAUUUUUCUAAAAAUAAAGAAUUAGACGUAAUGUCUUGCAUGAAAAAUCCAGAGCGUUACGGUUUAUAUUAUGGUAUUUAUUUUUAAUACCCGGUAAUGAAUUAAAAUGUUGAUUAUUUUUUAAAUUCGUGCAAAUCUUUUCCCACAUUUUAACUUACGUUAUUCAUGAUAUAUAAGAUCGAGUCUCCAACAUAUUUUACUAUCUUUUAUUCAUUCAUAGCCAUUCAGUUUAUUUUCUCCACUUUUGCAGGUUAGCUUCUUUUUGACCUUAUCCGAAAGAGUCAUUAAACCGAUCAAACUGCUCUUGGAAUUUUAGCUAAAUUCAGUUAUGAUGUCCGUAAAUAAAUGACUCAACUUCAUAAAUCACAAUAAAGAGUAUUCCUGAGUUAUCAAUAACUUUUUCUCACUUCUCCUCUUUCUACUCAAUGAAUUUCCAACUCAUUGAUCUCCUUUUACUAUGUUGCUUUUGGAUUAUAAAUGUUCUUAAGACUAUAGUCGUCCCUUCAAAAAUCUUAAAAAUCAAGGAGAAUGUGAGUAACAAAAAUCUUAAAGAAAAGUGCACGCCAUAUUUCCAAUAACAAUCAAUUGAAGAAAUCAACUCUUUUUAAUCAACAUGAUAUAUUGAAACGAUCCCCGACACAAGAAGUGCUAAACGGGAAUUAAAGCGAUUUAUUUCAGUAAAACUCCAUCACAAUAUAAUAAAAUGUAACAAAAAUCUUGAAACCUAGAAAGUUUAAAAUACAUGGCAACAUUUAUAUGACAUAUUACAAUCGAUGUGUGACUUAUUUAUUUGUAAAGUUCCAUCACUCCAAGGAUGGAGAAAGCACGACAAACAACUUGGAAUUUAGAAAAUCCAGAAUGUUUACCCAAACUUUCAAAUUCUUUUGAAGUUCUUUCCUUACCACCAGCUGUGAUAAACAUCAUGUUAUCAACAAUUGAAAUCAUCUUAGAUGCAUUUGUUGAUUCUAGAUCUUCUGGAGAUAUGAAAUCCACAAUAAUGACCUUACCAUUUGAAGGCAAAGCUUUGUGACAAUUGAUUAAAGUUUCUAAGCAUUUUUCAUCCGACCAAUUAUGGAACACAAGCUACAAUAACAUAAGCCAUGUGUACAAAGUUAGAAUCAAUGAUAUUAGCAAGAAUUUAUAAUUAAUUAGAUAAAAUAAAUAUUUUAUAUUUAUAUUUCUUUGGGUUAAUAGUGUUUUACCACUUGUAAUAUAGGUCAUUUCUGGAUUUACCCUCCUGUAUUUUUUUUUAUUUACCUCCCUGUAAUUUUUUUUUUUUUCAGAAUACCCCAUAAUAGGCCAUUCAAAAACCAAAAUUUUUAAAGAAAAAAAUUUCGUUUUUUAAUGGUCUAUUAGGGGGGUUUUAGGAAAAAAAAAAUUACAAGGGUAAAUAAAAAAAAAAAAUUACAUAAGGUAAACCCGGAAAUGACUUAUAUUACAUGGGCUAAAGCCCUAUUUUAUUUAAUGGCAUAUAUAUAUAUAAAAGAAGAUGAUUAAUUUUUUUUCUUCAUAUUUAUGUAUGUAUACCACCAACCUUAAUCAUUAUAGCAUCUCCUUGUGGAACACAUUCAAACAUAUUUCCUCCAACAUGUUCGAUCCCUAAAUAAAAUUUGACAAUAUUUCAUAACUAUAGGGAAAGCUUUUCAAAAACAAAUAAUCUUGGGAAAGUGGUCACUAAAUAUAAAAUUUGAGAUGUGAUCAAAUAAUAACCUGGAAAGGGUGGUGCAUGUUCAAUCACUUGUGGGAGAUCAAAAUUGAUUGCCUUUAUUGAUGGAUAUUUGGAUAUAAUCAUUUUGAGACAUUGUCCAUUUCCACCUCCUACAUCAACCAGUGUUGAUAUUCCUUCAUAUCCUUUGUAUAUUUCAAGGAUUAUUUUCAUGUGAAUUGCACAUGUUUGAGUCAUUGCUUUGUUAAAUAAGUUGUUUAUUUGUUGAUCUUUCUCAAAGUAUUCAUAGAUAGGUAUUCCAUGAACUUUCUCGAAUACGUUUAUCUCUGGUUCUAUAAUUGCUUCCUUCAAAUUCGACCUAUAUCACAAAAAUUAUUUUUGUUUUUAACAACACAAACGAUUAUUUUUUGUGACUAUCGAAUUUUUAGCUAUCGAAUUUCAAGGAAGAAACGCUUACCACACUCCUAGGAAAGCUGGGUGAUUCAAAUAUGAUGUGAAUGCGUCCAUAUAAUUAUCCUCAUUUUCAUGAUGGACAAAGUGUUUACCGGCAGGUGUGAUUGCAUAAACUCUCACAAUGCUACCAUCAUCGUUGGUCCGAGUGGAAAUGGACAGGAGACCGUGGCUAGCAAGUAAGCGCAGCAUACGGUCAAGCCUAUUUGGUAAGUCGGAGUAUUGAGUUAUUGGUAACUUUGAGGCAAUUUCGAAAGCCGACACAAAUCCAACACUACUUUCAUGUGAUAUUUCCUUAGCAAUGAUAUCAAACAAGUUGAGUUCAAUUGCAGCUUUAAAAACUGCAGGAAACACCAUAUUGGAACC
rnacentral:lncRNA from 1 species